CCUACGGGGGGCUGCAGUCGAGAAUCAUUCACAAUGGGGGAAACCCUGAUGGUGCGACGCCGCGUGGGGGAAUGAAGGUCUUCGGAUUGUAAACCCCUGUCAUGUGGGAGCAAAUUAAAAAGAUAGUACCACAAGAGGAAGAGACGGCUAACUCUGUGCCAGCAGCCGCGGUAAUACAGAGGUCUCAAGCGUUGUUCGGAAUCACUGGGCGUAAGGCGUGCGUAGGCUGUUUCGUAAGUCGUGUGUGAAAGGCGCGGGCUCAACCCGCGGACGGCACAUAAUACUGCGAGACUAGAGUAAUGGAGGGGGAACCGGAAUUCUCGGUGUAGCAGUGAAAUGCGUAGAUAUCGAGAGGAACACUCGUGGCGAAGGCGAGUUCCUGGACAUUAACUGACGCUGAGGCACGAAGGCCAGGGGAGCGAAAGGGAUUAGAUACCCGGGUAGUC
rnacentral:rRNA from 1 species